CCUAAAACAUGCAAGUCGAACGAUCUCUUCGGAGAUAGUGGCGCACGGGUGAGUAACGCGUGGGAACGUGCCCUUGGGUGCGGAAUAACUACUGGAAACGGUAGCUAAUACCGCAUAAUGACUCCGGUCCAAAGAUUUAUCGCCCAAGGAUCGGCCCGCGUUAGAUUAGGUAGUUGGUAGGGUAAGAGCCUACCAAGCCUACGAUCUAUAGCUGGUUUGAGAGGAUGAUCAGCCACACUGGGACUGAGACACGGCCCAGACUCCUACGGGAGGCAGCAGUUGGGAAUAUUGGACAAUGGGGGAAACCCUGAUCCAGCCAUGCCGCGUGAGUGAAGAAGGCCCUCGGGUUGUAAAGCUCUUUCAGAUGCGAAGAUGAUGACGGUAACAUCAGAAGAAGCCCCGGCUAAAUUCGUGCCAGCAGCCGCGGUAAUACGAAUGGGGCAAGCGUUGUUCGGAAUCACUGGGCGUAAAGCGUGCGUAGGCGGCUAUGCAAGUCAGGAGUGAAAUCCCAGGGCUUAACCUUGGAACUGCUUCUGAAACUGUAUAGCUAGAGUCCCGGAGAGGUUGGCGGAAUUCCGAGUGUAGAGGUGAAAUUCGCAGAUAUUCGGAGGAACACCAGUGGCGAAGGCGGCCAACUGGACGGGAACUGACGCUCAGGCACGAAAGCGUGGGGAGCCAACAGGAUUAGAUACCCUGGUAGUCCACGCCCUAAACGAUGUGUGCUAGUCGCGGGGUUUCCUA
rnacentral:rRNA from 1 species